UGGCAGUCUCUACAUGGUCCAA
rnacentral:piRNA from 1 species